rnacentral:rRNA from 1 species
CCCUUAGAUGUUCUGGGCCGCACGCGUGCUACACUGAGUAAUUCAAUGGGUAAGGGAACGCUAGAGCAUUACCUAAUCUUGAAAUUUGCUCGUGAUGGGGAGCGACGGUUGCAAUUUUCCGUCGUGAACGAGGAAUACCUUGUAGGCGCAUGUCAUCAUCAUGCGCCGAAUACGUCCCUGCCCUUUGUACACACCGCCCGUCGCUCCUACCGAUUGAGUGAUCCGGUGAGGCUCUGGGACCUGGACGGAAAGAGCGUUUCGCUUGUUCUGUUUGGGAAACUUGGUCGAACCUUAUCAUUUAGAGGAAGGAGAAGUCGUAACA